AUUGAACGCUGGCGGAAUGCUUUACACAUGCAAGUCGAACGGCAGCACGGACUUCGGUCUGGUGGCGAGUGGCGAACGGGUGAGUAAUGUAUCGGAACGUGCCCAGUCGUGGGGGAUAACGUAGUGAAAAUUACGCUAAUACCGCAUACGAUCUAUGGAUGAAAGCGGGGGAUCGCAAGACCUCGCGCGAUUGGAGCGGCCGAUAUCAGAUUAGGUAGUUGGUGGGGUAAAGGCCCACCAAGUCAACGAUCCGUAGCUGGUCUGAGAGGACGACCAGCCACACUGGAACUGAGACACGGUCCAGACUCCUACGGGAGGCAGCAGUGGGGAAUUUUGGACAAUGGGCGAAAGCCUGAUCCAGCCAUUCCGCGUGCAGGAUGAAGGCCCUCGGGUUGUAAACUGCUUUUGUACAGAACGAAAAGGUUUCUACUAAUACUAGGAGCUCAUGACGGUACUGAAAGAAUAAGCACCGGCUAACUACGUGCCAGCCGCCGCAGUAA
rnacentral:rRNA from 1 species